GACGAACGCUGGCGGCGUGCUUAACACAUGCAAGUCGAACGGUAACGCCCUUCUUUUUUCUGGUGCUCGAGUGGCGAACGGGUGAUUAACCCGUGAGUAACCUGCCCUUGACUUUGGGAUAACUUCAGCAAACUUGGGCUAAUACCUGAUAUGAGCUCCUACUGCAUGGUGGGGGUUGGAAAGUUUCGGCGGUUGGGGAUGGACUCGCGGCUUAUCAGCUUGUUGGUGGGGUAGUGGCUUACCAAGGCUUUGACGGGUAGCCGGCAUGAGAGGGUGACCGGCGACAUUGGGACUGAGAUACGGAGCAGACGGCUACGGGAGGCAGGAGUGGGGAAUAUUGCACAAUGGGGGGAAGCGUGAGGAAGAAACGCCGCGUGCGGGAUGAGGGCCUUGGAGUUGUAAAACGCUUUCGGCUGUGACGAAGCGUGAGUGACGGUAAUGGGUAAAGAAGCACCGGCUAACUACGUG
rnacentral:rRNA from 1 species